GAAGACUUUAAGAGACUUCAUUAGAUGUGUUUUACGAAGCAUCACCUUACCAGAAAAACGCUUAUACACUAACUACAGCAUAAAGCAGGAAGAUUUUGAGAGACUUCAUUAGAUGCUUUUUUACAAAGCAUCACAUGUACUAGACUAAGGCGGGCGUAUAUUCAAACCAUAAGUGUUUACUUGACCAUGAAUUCCUGGUUGGGAAAGUUGUUGACGUCAAUAUUCAUUCUACCGUUCGCAGCUGCAAAUUACCGAAGACGACAGAAUGGAUCCUGGUAUUAUGAUUGUACUAUUUCGUCCCGUGUUCUGUUCCUGCUUGUUCUUUCAAUAGUGAUAGUAUUUUCCGCCACCAAAUGGAUACCAACACAUAUGGAUCUUCGAUUGGGAUUUGUCGUAAUUCUUCUGUCUUUACUUAUGGUCUCUGGGCUGAUUGGGAUCUAUAUCAUGGGAUGCCUGGUUCGGAAACGAGGCAUCCUGUCCGUUGUUGCUGCAAGACGAAACUCAAAUACACCAAAACUUCAAGUGAUAUUCCUGUGGGUUUUCGGUCUGGCAUCGGGAUUGAAUAGUGCUUUAUUUGUCGGCA